AUUGAACGCUGGCGGCAUGCUUUACACAUGCAAGUCGAACGGCAGCGGGGUAGUGCUUGCACUACUGUCCGGCGAGUGGCGAACGGGUGAGUAAUAUAUCGGAACGUACCGAGUAAUGGGGGAUAACCAAUCGAAAGAUUGGCUAAUACCGCAUACGUCCUACGGGAGAAAGCGGGGGAUCGCAAGACCUCGCGUUAUUCGAGCGGCCGAUAACUGAUUAGCUAGUUGGUGGGGUAAAGGCCUACCAAGGCGACGAUCAGUAGCGGGUCUGAGAGGACGAUCCGCCACACUGGGACUGAGACACGGCCCAGACUCCUACGGGAGGCAGCAGUGGGGAAUUUUGGACAAUGGGGGCAACCCUGAUCCAGCCAUGCCGCGUGUAUGAAGAAGGCCUUCGGGUUGUAAAGUACUUUUGUUAGGGAAGAAAAGGGAAGUGCUAAUACCACUUUUUGCUGACGGUACCUAAAGAAUAAGCACCGGCUAACUACGUGCCAGCAGCCGCGGUAAUACGUAGAGUGCGAGCGUUAAUCGGAAUUACUGGGCGUAAAGCGAGCGCAGACGGUUAUUUAAGCAGGAUGUGAAAUCCCCGGGCUUAACCUGGGAACUGCGUUCUGAACUGGAUAGCUAGAGUGUGUCAGAGGGGGGUAGAAUUCCACGUGUAGCAGUGAAAUGCGUAGAGAUGUGGAGGAAUACCGAUGGCGAAGGCAGCCCCCUGGGAUAACACUGACGUUCAUGCUCGAAAGCGUGGGUAGCAAACAGG
rnacentral:rRNA from 1 species